rnacentral:rRNA from 1 species
AUUGAACGCUGGCGGCAGGCCUAACACAUGCAAGUCGAGCGGUAGAAGGAAGCUUGCUUCCUUUGAGAGCGGCGGACGGGUGAGUAAUGCCUAGGAAUCUGCCUGGUAGUGGGGGAUAACGUUCGGAAACGAACGCUAAUACCGCGUACGUCCUACGGGAGAAAGCAGGGGACCUUCGGGCCUUGCGCUAUCAGAUGAGCCUAGGUCGGAUUAGCUUGUUGGUGAGGUAAUGGCUCACCAAGGCAACGAUCCGUAACUGGUCUGAGAGGAUGAUCAGUCACACUGGAACUGAGACACGGUCCAGACUCCUACGGGAGGCAGCAGUGGGGAAUAUUGGACAAUGGGGGAAACCCUGAUCCAGCCAUGCCGCGUGUGUGAAGAAGGUCUUAGGAUUGUAAAGCACUUUAAGUUGGGAGGAAGGGUUGUAGCUUAAUACGCUGCAACUUGACGUACCGACAG